rnacentral:rRNA from 1 species
UACGGGGGGGAGCAAGCGUUGUUCGGAUUUACUGGGCGUAAAGGGCGCGUAGGCGGCGCAACAAGUCACUUGUGAAAUCUCCGGGCUUAACCCGGAGCGGCCAAGUGAUACUGUCGUGCUAGAGUGCGGAAGGGGCUACUGGAAUUCUCGGUGUAGCGGUGAAAAUGCGUAGAUAUCGAGAGGAACACCUGCGGCGAAGGCGGGUUGCUGGGCCGACACUGACGCUGAGGCGCGAAAGCUAGGGGAGCGAACGGG